AUAAAGAAACAGACCACAGAUUAGCGCAGCCCUAAGAAAACUUGGUCUGCAACGGUUCAUAACUCUCUGGUCAGUAAAAUAUGGCAAAUGGAGACUAUAGAGAGGAAUUUGAACUCAAAAUGGAUGUUUCAGCCAGGAGUGAUGCCUUACAGACCUGCUCUGGUGAAGAGGGUGAAGAGGGUGAAGUGACUUCAGCGGUGCCUGGAGGAAAACUCUACAGACUGGUUGCUGUGAGCUUUGGAUUCCUGUGCAUCCUACAAGCUGCUCUCAAUAUUUCUCUGCGCCUUGGUCUUUCAAAUACUGAGGCCAGAUGUAAAAACCUGACUGAAGAGAUAGACAAUCUGAAGAGGAUCAACUUUGCCAUAACUCAUAAUAUGACACAAGAAAUAGAGGCCACCCGCAAAAACCUGACCAAAGAAAAAGAUGAGCUGAAGAGGAACCUGACUGAUUUUGAGGCCAGAUACAAAGUCCUGACUGAAGAACGAGAUGAGCUGAAGAGGAAGCUGACUGAUUUAGUUAACCGUUUACAACAAGGAUGGGUAUAUUUCAGUGGCAGUGUUUAUUAUAUUUCUUCUAUCAAGAAAAACUGGGAAGAAAGUAGAAAUGACUGCCUGCAACGAGGUGCAGACCUGAUGAUUAUCAACAGCAAAGAAGAACAGGAUUUCGUAGCACAAGUGAAUGAUAGCAUGUGGAUUGGACUCACUGACAGAGAGACAGAAGGGACGUGGAAAUGGGUUGAUGGGACUCCACUGACAAUAAGCUUCUGGGUGAGUGGUGAGCCCAACAGCUUUGAAUCCACAGAAGAAGACUGUGCAGAAUUGAGGUAUCACGGAACUGUAGAGAGCUGGAAUGAUAAACCAUGUAACUAUCAAAUCCUGUGGGUCUGUGAAAAGAAAGUGCUUCCAUAACUCAGCCUCCAAACUUAUCAGACAUUUAUGUAAGACUCAGGACAAUACCUUUAAAAAAAAAAAAAAAAUCCAUACUAAGACAGCUACAAUGAAAAACACCUAUUUUUCUUUCCACUUUGGUCUCGCAUCCACAGUAAGCCCACAUUAUUCAUGUGGAAAAUGAUGCAUUUGGGAGGGGAAAUUAGCUUUUCAGAUAUAAUAACAAAUUCCUGCUCAGAUGCACUAAGUAAAGAAUAAGGGACCACUUUCCUGUCACCUGAUCUCUCACCAUGUCGAUGCUGCCAAUCACGCAAUGUUGUCACUGAUCUGUAUUUAUUCUUUUAGUUUGAUCUAUGAGCAAUGGUGAUGGGUUAGACAAGCAAAUUAUUUCCCCAGUGCAAAAAUUGCUGAUCACUUUACAUAACAGGAAGCAUUUAUCAAGACCAAUCAAGUCUCCAUUUGCUCUUGUACUAUCUAGUGUUACUCCUGUGACCUGACAAAGAAAUCUACCUGUCUGUCCCAUUCCUUACAAGAUGUUGGCUGUUUUGCAUGAUUUUGAAGAGAUUUACCUUUUUUUCUUUGUGUGUCAGUGUGGACUUACAGCUUCAGAAAAAGAACCUGAAUAUGCUCAUGUGGACAUGCACAUCAUUGUAAUUGUAAACAGUGUUUUCAGAUUUGUCAUCUUUGGGUGGAUGUUGUGUGGAUGUUAUGACUGUGGUGCAGGAACGUGGCCACAUACUUUCUAACAAAAGUCCAACUAAGGUCACUGCUUUGCUUGGAAAAAAAUGAAUACAAUAAUGAAGAGUAUAACACACGUUUUGAUUGACUGCUAAGUGAAUGUUUCCUCAUGAGCUGACCUCAUACAAUGACUGAAUUUCAAUCUGUUUACCUUUAUCAUUAUAUCAUUAUAAGUAAGAUUUUACCUCCAUUAAGAUAAAUCCAUUUAACUUUACUUUAUGGAAGAUUGCUUCAAAUAAGGUUUGCUAAAUUAACCAUUAGAAAUGCAUACAAUUUAAAAAAAAAAAAAAAAUUGUAAAAUUAUCUUUUGUCUGUCUUACUUUAAAAUGUUUGCAUGUUACAAAUAUAAAUUUACAAGCACAGAAAAACACGAUUAGGGCAACAAAAAACAAAACAAAGAUGAACAAAACUGUUUUCAAGCACAGGUUUAUGACACACUUGAAUUUCCUUAAAGGUAUGUACGACUUUGCCUUCCUGAAAGUUGUACAUGUUGUGGAAAAUACACAACGUAUACAGCUAAUAAUUUAUAUUUUAUUAUCCUUUCUAUCAGAAGUAUAAUACAGUACUUCAAUGACAAGUUAAAUUACUCAUAUAUGUGCAUCAAAAUCUGCCUCAUUUGUUCCACAAUAUUUCAAAUAUCUCAAAGGCUGUAACUUCUCCAUAAUGCCACGUCCUUUAAAUUUGUGUUCAUUUUAUAUUUAUCUCUUGGUUUCAAAUCCUGACCAUAGCAGGGGAAAGAUCAUGUACUGAGUGCUAGGGGUAUGGUCAGUCAAA